rnacentral:sRNA from 1 species
AUGUGUAGAAGAGGUUUUCAGGUUGUCGUGUAUUAUAUGUGCACUUGACCAUGGUUCUCUUGAAGUUGGAGAUUGCAUCUUGGAUCCUUUACUUCUACGAUUCUGUUUUCUGUCUAUUCACAAGAUAUUAGAAUUUCAUGAAAAUAUAAGAAAGAAAAAAACAAACAAGGGAGUACCCAUUUUUCUGACAUAUUUAAUUGUACUUUGAAUUUGUUUCAUCAAUGUUUCCAUAGCUUUAGGAUCAUGUCCUCUGUUUACGCAACACAUAAAAAAUAAUCACAUUCCAU